rnacentral:rRNA from 1 species
UACGUAGGUGGCAAGCGUUGUCCGGAAUUAUUGGGCGUAAAGCGCGCGCAGGCGGCCUCUUAAGUCUGAUGUGAAAGCCCCCGGCUCAACCGGGGAGGGCCAUUGGAAACUGGGAGGCUUGAGUAUAGGAGGGAAGAGUGGAAUUCCACGUGAGCGGUGAAAUGCUAGAGAUGUGGAGGAACACCAGUGGCGAAAGGCGACUCUUUGGCCUAUAACUACGCUGAGGCGCGAAAAGCGUGGGGGAGCAAAACAGG